UACGGGGGGGGCAAGCGUUGUUCGGAAUUACUGGGCGUAAAGGGCUCGUAGGCGGCCAACUAAGUCCGACGUGAAAUCCCCAGGCUUAACCUGGGAACUGCGUCGGAUACUGGAUGGCUUGAAUCCGGGAGAGGGAUGCGGAAUUCCAGGUGUAGCGGUGAAAUGCGUAGAUAUCUGGAGGAACACCGGUGGCGAAGGCGGUUCUCUGGGCCGAUACUGACGCUGAGGAGCGAAAGCGUGGGGAGCGAACAGG
rnacentral:rRNA from 1 species